rnacentral:rRNA from 1 species
GAUGAACGCUGACAGAAUGCUUAACACAUGCAAGUCGAUGGGGAAGUGGUGCUUGCACCAUGGCAACCAUGGCGGACGGGUGAGUAACGCGUAAGGGACUUACCUGCAGGACUGGGAUAACAGGGGGAAACUCCUGACAAGACCGGAUAAUGUCAUGGAGCUGCAUGGCUUUAUGAUGAAAGGAGACGCCUGCGGAGAGCCUUGCGUCCUAUUAGCUAGUUGGUGAGGUAAUGGCUCACCAAGGCGAAGAUAGGUAGCCGGCCUGAGAGGGUGGACGGCCACAAGGGGACUGAGAUACUGCCCUUACUCCUACGGGAGGCAGCAGUGGGGAAUAUUGGACAAUGGGGGCAACCCUGAUCCAGCAAUUCUGUGUGCACGAAGAAGGUUUUCGGAUUGUAAAGUGCUUUCAGCAGGGAAGAAGUAAGUGACGGUACCUGCAGAAGAAGCGACGGCUAAAUACGUG